AGAAAGAAACCCCACACCCUGAGUCUGUCUGUGAUCUACUGGCCAACGAGCUAUACUGGAGACCUGAGGAGAAAGAGACCCCACACCCUGAGUCUGUCUGUGAUCUACUGGCCAACGAGCUAUACUGGAGACCUGAGGAGAAAGAGACCCCACACCCUACACACACUACACACACUACACACACUUCACACACUACUACAGAUACCACACUGGAGACCUGAGGAGAAAGAGACCCCACACCCUACACACACUACACACACUUCACACACUACUACAGAUACCACACUGGAGACCUGACGAGAAAGAAACCCCACACAAUACACACCCAACUAUAGAUACUAAACAUAGUAUAGAUACUAAACAUACAGCAGUUAGCUUGGAGAAAAAAGAGGCUAAUAAUCAGCUAGCACAACAGGCUAACACUCAGCUAGCAAACAGGCUAACACUCAGCUAGCACAAUAGGCUAACACUCAGCUAGCACAGCAGGCUAACACUCAGUUAUGCACAACAGGCUAACACUCAGCUAGCGCAACAGGAAAACACUCAGAUAGAGCAACAGGCUAACACUCAGCUUGCACAACAGGCUAACACUCAGCUAGCACAAUAGGCUAACACUCAACCAGCACAACAGGCUAACACUCAGCUAUGUACAACAGGCUAACACUCUGCUAGCGCAACAGGAUAACACUCAGAUAGCGCAACAGGCUAACACUCAGCUAGCACAACAGGCUAACACUCAGCUAGCACAACAGGCUAACACCCAGCUAUGUACAACAGGCUAACACUCAACUAGCACAACAGGCUAACACUCAACAAGCACAACAGGCUAACACUCAACUAGCACAACAGGCUAACACACAGACAUUUGACACCUCGCCCCCAGCAGAACUACUGUCCUCCAGCUGGGACCAUCAGCACUACUCUCCUCCAGCUGAGACCAUCAGAACUACUGUCCUCCAGCUGAGACCAUCAGAACUACUCUCCUCCAGCUGAGACCAUCAGAACUACUGUCCUCCAGCUGAGACCAGUCAGAACUACUGUCCUCCAGCUGAGACCAUCAGAACUACUGUCCUCCAGCUGAGACCAUCAGAACUACUCUCCUCCAGCUGAGACCAGACCAGCUGAGACCAUCAGAACUACUCUCCUCCAGCUGAGACCAUCAGAACUACAGUCCUCCAGCUGAGACCAUCAGAACUACAGUCCUCCAGCUGAGACCAUCAGAACUACUGUCCUCCAGUUGAGACCAUCAUAACUACUCUCCUCCAGCUGAGACCAGACCAGCUGAGACCAUCAGAACUACUCUCCUCCAGCUGAGACCAUCAGAACUACUCUCCUCCAGUGAGACCAUCAGAACUACUCUCCUCCAGCUGAGACCAGACCAGCUGAGACCAUCAGAACUACUGUCCUCCAGCUGAGACCAUCAGAACUACUGUCCUCCAGCUGAGACCAUCAGAACUACUGUCCUCCAGUGAGACCAUCAGAACUACUGUCCUCCAGCUGAGACCAUCAGAACUACUGUCCUCCAGCUGAGACCAUCAGAACUACUGUCCCCCAGUGAGACCAUCAGAACUACUGUCCUCCAGUGAGACCAGUAGAACUACUGUCCUCCAGCUGAGACCAUCAGAACUACUGUCCUCCACUGAGACCAUCAGAACUACUGUCCUCCAGCUGAGACCAUCAGAACUACUGUCCUCCAGUGAGACCAUCAGAACUACUGUCCUCCAGCUGAGACCAUCAGAACUACUCUCCUCCAGUGAGACCAUCAGAACUACUGUCCUCCAGCUGAGACCAUCAGAACUACUGUCCUCCAGUGAGACCAGUAGAACUACUGUCCUCCAGCUGAGACCAUCAGAACUACUGUCCUCCAGUGAGACCAUCAGAACUACUGUCCUCCAGUGAGACCAUCAGAACUACUGUCCUCCAGUGAGACCAGUAGAACUACUGUCCUCCACUGAGACCAGCAGAACUACUGUCCUCCAGCUGAGACCAUCAGAACUACUCUCCUCCAGCAGAGACCAUCAGAACUACUCUCCUCCAGCUGAGACCAUCAGAACUAC